CAGCAGCAGGGAAUAUUGCACAAUGGGCGAAAGCCUGAUGCAGCGACGCCGCGUGCGGGAUGAAGGCCUUCGGGUUGUAAACCGCUUUCAGGAGGGACGAAAAUGACGGUACCUCCAGAAGAAGGCCCGGCCAACUACGUGCCAGCAGCCGCGGUAAUACGUAGGGGCCAAGCGUUGUCCGGAUUUAUUGGGCGUAAAGGGCUCGUAGGCGGUUUGACAAGUCGGUCGUGAAAGCCCGGGGCUCAACCCCGGGACGCCGGUCGAAACUGUCAUGACUAGGGUCCGGUAGAGGUGAGUGGAAUUCUCGGUGUAGCGGUGAAAUGCGCAGAUAUCGAGAGGAACACCAGUAGCGAAGGCGGCUCACUGGGCCGGUACCGACGCUGAGGAGCGAAAGCGUGGGGAGCAAACAGGAUUAGA
rnacentral:rRNA from 1 species